UCACUAAAUUCAUAUCUCUCCCUUCCCUUCCACUCAAAGCACCACUACGCCACCCUUUCGUAUACUAAUUAAUACCCAUCCCCUCCUCCAUCCUCAAUUCCCAAACCUCGCCGACAUGUCGGAGCUUCAACAGCAGCAGCAGCCAGCUUUGGUUUAUCCCAACACUGCCGCCGUUGGCAGCCAACCUCCUCCUUCCCACCACUCCAACGGCUCAUUCGGGGCAGUUUUUAUAGUUCUUGCCGUUAUUCUUGUCAUAUCCACUGUUGCUUGCUUCCUUGGCCGACUCUGCAACCGGCGAGCUGAAAACCAGAGGGCGAAGCCGGAGAAAACCCACGGCGGCGCUCGUCCCAGAGGAAAAGAACCCAAAUUGCAUCCUGACAAAGAUGGAGACAUCGAAUUUGGAUUGGAUUUGAGAAACCCGAAUGGGAAAGGCAAAGCCCUCUCUGGUGGAAAUGGAGGAACCAAAGGCAACGGGCAUGGGCCUAAUGAGCCUAAUGGCCACAGCCAUGGGUUCAAACCCUUUGAAAAUGGCGGCGAAAUGAGAGGCCAAAUCAAGCACGCGGAUGAUCAUCAUCAUGAAGGAGAUUUCAAGUUCAAAGCAGCAGCUCAUCCCGUUUGAUGGGUAAUUGUCAAAUCACAGCAGAGUGGUUUUUUUUUUUUUUUUUUUUUCUCGAUCUAAUUACAAGCUCUUCAUUCAGUUCAAUCACAAAUCUGUGACGCCGUUUGAAUUCCAAGUAGAAAUGUAAAUGAAUUGAAAUCUAUUGGGUGGCAUAUCUUCAAGCUUACGCCGUCUUGAAUUAACAGAUGUUCUUGUUCUUCCGUGUUUUAAUGUAACCAAACAAAUAAUGGGUUUGGAAUAAAGCCAGAGAAUACGAAUUC